rnacentral:rRNA from 1 species
UUGAUGAAGUGCUUACUGCAUUUUUUCUUACACAUGUGUUUUUCUUUUUUUGAAAACUUUGCUUUGGUAGGCCUUCUAUAUGGGGCCUGCCAGAGAUUAAACUCAACCAAAUUUUAUUUAAUGUCAACCGAUUAUUUAAUAGUCAAAACUUUCAACAACGGAUCUCUUGGUUCUCGCAUCGAUGAAGAACGCAGCGAAAUGCGAUAAGUAAUAUGAAUUGCAGAUAUUCGUGAAUCAUCGAAUCUUUGAACGCACAUUGCGCCCUUUGGUAUUCCAAAGGGCAUGCCUGUUUGAGCGUCAUUUCUCCCUCAAACCCUCGGGUUUGGUGUUGAGCGAUACGCUGGGUUUGCUUGAAAGAAAGGCGGAGUAUAAACUAAUGGAUAGGUUUUUUCCACUCAUUGGUACAAACUCCAAAACUUCUUCCAAAUUCGACCUCAAAUCAGGUAGGACUACCCGCUGAACUUAAGCAUAUCAAAAGCCGGGAGGAA